AUGAAAAACUUCAUUAAGGAAAAAGUGCAAUCCUGCCUCAUUUGUCAACAAGCUAAACCAGAGACAAUCAACUAUCCAGGGUUGCUGUCACCCCUGCCAGUUCCCAAGAAGGUCUGGGAGUAUGUCACCAUGGAUUUCAUAUCUGGAUUGCCAAUAUCAGGACAAUUUGACUGCAUUUUCCUGGUAAUUGAUAAGUUCACUAACUGA
rnacentral:rRNA from 1 species